rnacentral:rRNA from 1 species
AUUGAACGCUGGCGGCAUGCUUUACACAUGCAAGUCGAACGGCAGCACAGGAGAGCUUGCUCUCUGGGUGGCGAGUGGCGGACGGGUGAGGAAUACAUCGGAAUCUACUUUUUCGUGGGGGAUAACGUAGGGAAACUUACGCUAAUACCGCAUACGACCUACGGGUGAAAGCAGGGGACCUUCGGGCAUUGCGCGAUUGAAUGAGCCGAUGUCGGAUUAGCUAGUUGGCGGGGUAAAGGCCCACCAAGGCGACGAUCCGUAGCUGGUCUGAGAGGAUGAUCAGCCACACUGGAACUGAGACACGGUCCAGACUCCUACGGGAGGCAGCAGUGGGGAAUAUUGGACAAUGGGCGCAAGCCUGAUCCAGCCAUACCGCGUGGGUGAAGAAGGCCUUCGGGUUGUAAAGCCCUUUUGUUGGGAAAGAAAUCCAGCCGGUUAAUACCUGGUUGGGAUGACGGUACCCAAAGAAUAAGCACCGGCUAACUUCGUGCCAGCAGCCGCAGUAAUAC